rnacentral:tRNA from 1 species
AGUAAGCCUCUCCCGUAGUAAGGCAACGGGUUUUGGUCCCGCUAUUCGGAGGUUCGAAUCCUUCCGUCCCAG